GAUGAACGCUAGCUACAGGCUUAACACAUGCAAGUCGCGGGACCGGCGCACGGGUGAGUAACAAGUAUCCAACCUGCCCUUUACUCGGGGAUAGCCUUUCGAAAGAAAGAUUAAUACCCGAUAUAAAGGAUGGGUAUGCGUUCUAUUAGGUUUUUGGGUAGGUAACGGCUCACCCAGCCUUCGAUGGAUAGGGGUUCUGAGAGUAAGGUACCGCGCAUUGUAACUGAGACACGAUCCAAACUCUUACGGGAGGCAGCAGUGAGGAAUAUUGGUCAAUGGGGGCUAGCCUGAACCAGCCAAGUAGCGUGAAGGAUGAAGGCUGAUGGGUAGUAAACUUCUUUUAUAUAAGAAUAUGUAUUAUAUGAAGUAGGAUAGGCUAACUCCGUGCCAGCAGCCGCGGUAAUUC
rnacentral:rRNA from 1 species